AAAUGAGAGUGACUAAGAGGGUCGGAAUUGAACUUUUGAUGCAUCAUGAGUAGUUGGACACAUUACUGAAUAGGGUCACUGAUGUUGUCAUCGAAAUUAUGUUGUUGUUGAAUGUGUAUUAGACAUAUUAUUGUUGUUAUUGUUGUUUAUAUGAUGUUGUUGUAGAAUGUGUAUGAAACACAUUUGUUAUAUUGUUGUUGUUUAUGUUGUUGUUGAUGAAUGUGUAUUAGCCACAAUGUUGUUGGUUAUGUUGUUAU
rnacentral:lncRNA from 1 species